rnacentral:rRNA from 1 species
GGGUCAUGAGGCUGGUCGUGCCACCGGUACGUACUGGUCUCACUGAUUCCUCCUUCCUGAAGAACCGUAAUGCCAUUAAUUUGGUGUUGCGGGGAAACAGGACUGUUACUUUGAAAAAAUUAGAGUGUUUAAAGCAAGCUAACGCUUGAAUACAUUAGCUUGGAAUAAUGAAAUAGGACGAUCGAUCCUAUUUUGUUGGUUUCUAGGAUUGACGUA